rnacentral:lncRNA from 1 species
ACUUCUCUGCUUUUCCUAAUCUCACUGCCCUCAAUCUCAAUAUGAACAAUUUGGUAGGAAGUAUUCCGGCUGGAAUUGGGAAUGCAACAAAGCUCAUCUUACUUGAUUUGAGUAGCAAUAAUCUCACAAAUCCAAUACCUCCAGAAAUUGGAUACCUUUCAGAUCUCCGAGUCCUUCUUCUCUACAAUAAUUCACUCACAGGUCAAAUUCCACAUCAACUUAGCAACCUACAGAACGCGUGGCUGCUAAGAAUUGGUGCUAACUACCUGGAGGAUCCUGACCCAGUCAAGUUUAAGGGUAUGGCAUCUUUAACAGAUCUUUGGCUUGACUAUAAUCUUUUGGAGAAAUUUCCCUCGUUUAUAGCUGAAUGCUCGAAGCUGAUGUUUCUCGAUCUUUCUGAUAAUCUAAUUAUGGGUCAUAUUCCGAUAGAGCAACUGACUCAUCUGGAAAACCUCGAAUAUCUGAACCUAACAAAGAAUUCGUUUGAAGGAGAGAUUCCCCGGGAAAUUAAAACAUUUCCUAAGCUUCGACACCUGAAGCUCGGGCAAAACAAGCUUACCGGUACAAUACCUGAUGAAAUAGGGCUCCUAUCAAACCUUGAAAUACUUGAAUUCCAUGAGAAUUUGUUUCACGGGCUGAUACCAUCUUCAUUAGGAAACUUGAGGAGGCUUCAACGUUUGAACCUAAAAUCUGCAGGUCUAAAUUCCAGCAUCCCCAAGGAACUUGGAUUCUGCGCCAACCUCACUUUCCUCGAACUUUCUAUUAACAACCUUACAGGUUCCUUGCCUCUUUCCCUGGCCUCAUUAAGACAAAUCAGCGAGCUAGGGAUUUCCAAUAACCAACUAUCUGGUGAAAUUCAUCCAUAUCUCUUUUCUAACUGGUCAGAGAUCAUCUCUUUGCAGCUCCAGAUGAAUGAUCUAUCAGGAAAACUUCCACCUGAAAUUGGGUUACUCCCCAAACUAGAGUAUCUGUAUCUUUUUGAUAACAAAUUUUCAGGUCCUAUAUCUCAACAAAUCGGAAAUUUGACAAAUCUGUUUGAUCUUCAACUGGCCAACAACUUUUUCAAUGGUUCCAUCCCUUCCACCAUUGGAAAUUUAUCCAGUCUUGUGAAGUUAAGUCUUUCUUCUAACCAACUUACUGGAACCCUUCCUCCUGAAAUAGGCAACCUCAAAAUGUUAGAAGAGUUGGACUUGAGCUCAAAUAAUUUGCAAGGAACUCUUCCCAUGUCAAUAACCAAUUUACAAAGCCUCACCCUGUUAUAUGUUUCAUUCAACAACUUCUCAGGAAGCAUUCCAGUUGAUUUUGGACCCAGAUUCUUAACAAAUGUGAGCUUCUCCUACAAUAAUUUUUCUGGAAAGCUGCCUCCAGGAAUUUGUAGAGGUGGGAACCUCAUCUAUUUAACUGCCAAUGUAAAUAAACUCGUGGGACCUAUUCCAGAAAGUCUUUGGAACUGCACAGGACUAACCAGAGUUAGGCUUGAGCAGAAUCGUCUGGAUGGAGAUAUCACGAAUGCAUUAGGCAUAUACCCAGAUCUGCAAUAUAUUGACUUGGGAGACAACCAGCUUUCUGGAAUGUUGACAUCAAACUGGGGAAAGUGCACCAAUCUCUCAAACUUUCGCAUAUCUGCUAAUAGAAUAAAGGGCGGUAUCCCAGCGGAGCUUGGAAAUUUGACAUAUUUGCAGAAUCUCGCCAUUUCUGAUAACCAACUGACAGGGAAAAUUCCAGCAGAGCUUUUCAGAUCUUCAGUUCUCAUCAGACUGAAUUUGAGCAGGAACCAACUCUCAGAUAAGAUACCUGCAGAAAUUGGAAAGCUUUCACGGCUACAAUAUUUGGAUUUGUCAGAGAACAAUCUAGAUGGACCUAUACCAGAUAAACUUGGGGACUGUGAGACACUUAUAUUUCUGAAGCUGAGUAAAAACAGAUUAAAUGGGACUAUGCCAGAGCAGCUUGGGAAUCUAAUAGCACUGCAGUCUGUCUUAGACCUCAGUCAAAAUACUAUCACAGGAGAAAUAUCCCCCCAGCUUGGGAAACUGAUAAAACUGGAAGUACUGAACCUUUCACACAACCAGCUUUCAGGUCCAAUACCUUCCACCCUUGAAGAUCUUGUAAGCCUUCAGGAUGUUGAUGUAUCAUAUAACAAUCUUGAAGGUCCGCUCCCAAACACAAGGGCCUUUCUGCAAGCUUCUGUUGAAGAAGUGGCCGGUAAUCCUGGCCUAUGUGGUGAAAAGGCAAAAGGUUUGACCCCUUGCAGCAGAGACACUUCAUCUAAGAAGCAAAACAGAAAUAACAAAAGGAAAUUGGUGAUUGCCAUUGUCAUUCCAGUAGCUGCUUCAACAAUUCUGUUAAUUCUUUUUGGAAUGUUCCUUUUCCACCGUUAUUCAAGAGCUUGUGAAGAUAAAAAGGACAAAUAUUUAGGAAGAAAAAGCUCAUUUUCUGUAUGGAACUACACAAAGAGAAUAGAUUUUAAGGAUAUAGUCACUGCAACAGAUAACUUUGACUAUAAAUUUUGCAUUGGAAGGGGUGGACAGGGGAGCGUCUACAAAGCAAAGCUUCUGACAGGUGACAUCUUCGCCAUAAAGCGUCUUCAUACUCCUGACGAAAAUGAGCUAUCCGAGGAAUAUCAGAUGAAGAGUUUCGAAUCUGAAAUGCAUGCUCUAACAGAACUUCAGCAUCGGAAUAUUGUAAAAAUGUACGGAAUCAGUUACUUUGAUGGGGACCUUUUUUUUGUAUAUGAAUUCAUAGAGAGAGGCAGCUUGGCAAAGUCAUUGCUGGAUGACAAGGAAGCAGAGAUUUUGAGCUGGGAUAUAAGGUUAAAGAUCGUCAGAGGAGUUGCAAAUGCACUAUCCUACCUGCACCACGACUCUACACCCACUAUUGUGCACAGAGACAUAUCAAGGAAUAACAUUUUACUGGACAUGGAUUUUGAGCCUAAGAUUUCUGAUUUCGGAACAGCGAGGCUGCUAAAAGCAGGAGAGUAUAACACCACUGCUAUAGUUGGUUCAUAUGGUUAUAUUGCACCAGGUAAUUCCCAAACCACACCAUUAAACUAUGCACUAGUGAGCAUCGUUUUCCUACUAACAUGUGAUGUAAUAUGAACAGCACUUCCAACCUCACCAAUCCUGGUUCAUAGCUCAUCAACCAAAGUGGCAUUUUUUAGUCUUUCUUGUUAAAGUUUAGUCCUGAAAGAAAGCAUACGUGUUAAACCCCAAAAGAAAAAUAUAGCUAAUUAAACCCUAAAAGAAAAAUAUAGCUAAGUAUCCCAAAAAUAAUUUCAUGACAUGACCAGAUAAAUCAUUAGCAAAAAGAACAAAAAUCUAAUGCCUUGAUGCUUUGCUAAUUAACUUCUUCACAUAUUAUUUAUGUGUUGCAGAACUAGCUUCUUCAACGAAGGUGACAGAGAAAUGCGAUGUAUAUAGUUUUGGCGUUGUUGCAUUAGAAGUGCUAAUGGGGAAGCACCCCCAGGAACUCCUCCUAUCUCUGCAAUCUGGAGAGUAUAAUCUGCUGCUUGCCAAUAUUUUUGAUAAGAGGCUCACACCUCCAAGUGGUCACAUUAUGCAAGAUCUGGUUUUAGCAGCUACACUAGCCUUGAUAUGCAUAAGUGAAAAUCCCAUGUCAAGACCCACGAUGCGUCAAGUAUCCAGCGAACUGCUUACAGGAGCACGUCUUCCUCUCUCCAUACCUUUGCACUUGCUCACACUGCAGAACUUGAUGGAUAUGUUUUCUCAUAUUGGAUCCCAACAAGCAACAAGUCCCUAGCAAAGUUCCAGCAGGCAAAAUCUCUCCCUCUCUCUGCACCUUUCCACAAGCUCAUAUUGCGGAAGUUUCUGUCUAAAGUUUUCCAAAAUAUACUUGUCAAACAAGUUGUCUUAAAUGUACUUCUUAAUCUAGCUAAUCAUCUACUUUCAUCUAGUUAUCAGAUUCAACAUACUUUGAUUCUAUAUCCUUCUUCAUCUCCUAGGGAAUCACAAAUAUAUAAUUUCUUCCACAAGCAAAGCAAUGGGUAAAUGAUUAGAUAGAAAAUCACCUGAUUAUGCAACAGCAUCACAACAUUGAAACACACACUCUCGGUGCUUCAAAAACUGGAAAGAAGAAUAAGAAGCUCUCGUUCUGACUUGGGCCAGACAUAACAGGAUAUGAACCCUUCGAUAACCCAUAAACUUGCUGAGAACCUGAAAGAACGCACAUACGCAAAUUAAACUAACACAAAAUUACUAAAAGCAACAAUAAACUCACGUUUUUGAAUAAGAGUAGGGAAAGAUUUAGAUUGUAUUUCUAUUUUCCAUUAAAGAUAUUAUUUAGUUUUGAUUUUGUUUUGAAGGUAAGAAAGAAUUUAUAAACCUUUGAACUUCUGAUUUUAUUUUUGAUUUUAUGUGAUUGAUUGAAUGAUUUUACGGGUAUUAUAUUAAUAAAAUUGUGAAAGCAUGAUCAUGUAUUGAUUUAUGUUAUUAUUGAGUGGAAGUAGUGCUAUUAUGUUAUCACAAAAACCGUAAAUAGUGCAAAUUAAAUAUCAUAUGACUGAUGUUUCAAUUGAGUUUUAUAUAUAAACUUUAUAGAUUAUUAAAUUAGAUAUCUUUAUCUUUCUAUCUAUAUGUUUAUUAUUCAAAAACUCGUUGUAUAUUAAUUGUUUUGAUUUUUCGAAAUUGGAACACUAGUGUUGGAAAAUUUUAAUUUUCAGCAACAAUUCUUAUUUUUAUAAUUUAUUUCAUAAUCCAAUGGGUUCUGAAAAUUCUGAGAAUUUUUAUUACUGUACACAUAGAUGUCUAGUUUCAUUUUACCAAAGCAAACACGUCCACUUCUGACUUCUCAAACAUUGUGAAGUGGAAGACACUGAUGUUAUCUUACUUUUGGGGUGCUGUCAUGUCUUUUACAUGAUUCUCUUUAUUCAGCCUUAUGCUUUUUUUUCUUAGAUGUUUCUCCUAAAUGUUUUCAAGUUUUUAAUUGAAGAGAUUGAUUAGUAUAUAUAGGUUAUAUAAAUCCUUGCGUUCUUAUGACUGAGUGAAAAAUAUGCCAUUGGCAGUGAAAGAUCUACUCAAUAUUAUGUACACCUGAAAGAUAUAAGGGAAAUUUACAGUAAUAACUAAAAAAAUUUUCCUUUUUUUCAUCUUAACCCUCUAAAAAUAUUUCUAUCAACAUUAGCCAUAAAACAAUAUUUGAGACCAAAAUACCCCUCCCUCAUCUCUCCCCCAACUCUCCCAAACCGAUCCAACUCCCAUCAUCGGCGGCGACAUCAACCCUCGUCGGCGGCGGCUCCAUCUCUCACCGGCAUCCGAUCUACGAUCUACAACCUUCAACAAAAUCUAGGUUAGUCGUUUUUCUUAUUUUCAUUAAUUUAAAAUGAGAUUUUAGAAUAAUAAUAGUUAUAGCUUGAGAUUAAUAGUGGUGGUGAUGAUGUUUGUGGUGGUUGGUGGUGUUUGGGAGUAUUGUUUUCGAUUUUGGAGUGAUUGUGCUUAAUUUUGCGGGUGGGGAGGGAAGGGGGCAGGGCGCGCGCGCACCCAUGCGCGGCCUGCUGUCGCACCAAAUCUGGUGCGACAGGCGCGCGCCUGUCGCACCACAGCUUGUGCGACAGCGCCCCUGUCGCACCAAUUUUUUAGUGCGAGAGGCUUGCCCGUCGCACCAAAAAUUAGAUUUUUUUUUUUGUAACGAGUUAAUUUUUUUUUCUGUAAAUGUAAUGUAAUAAUUUUAUAAAUAUUACAGAUACAUGGUGAAAUCAGAAUCACCGGAUAUUGAAGUAGGCAAGAUGUAUUUUUGUUAUGCUGAUCAUUUUCCUGGCCGAAUUUCGAGCAUGUGUAUGUUAUAUUCGGUCAUUAAAGCCAUCGAGGAAAAAUUAACAAACCGGCAGUUGCGUAUGUUCAAAAAGGAUAUAUUUGGGCAUUUCUUGGAGUGUCGAAGUUUUCCAUUUAGUGGGGUAAUUUUGCACAAUCUUCUACUGCGGCAAGUGGCCCAUGAAGAAGAUAGCCGUGAGGAUUAGUUAUGGUUUCAAAUUGGUAAGCAUUUGAUUCGCUUGUCAAUUGUCGAAUGGUGCUUGGUUACUGGACUUUCAUUUGGUGUUGAUACCAAUAAAAAAAAUGAUGAAAUGGAGCAGAGGCUACGGAACACGUAUUUUGGUGGUGUGCAUCGUAAGAUUAAUGUGAAGCAAUUCGAUGCAGUAUUUAAGGAGUUGAAAUUCGAGGAAAUGGACGAUAUGGACGCAUUAAAGAUUGCGCUGUUUUAUUUUGCGGACAGAGUACUAAAUGCAAGAAAAAAUCACUGUCAAAUUAAUUUCGAUUGGCUUGACUAAGUUGAUGAUAUACAGUACUUCCGAAAGCGUCCAUGGGGUCUAUUGUCGUGGGAAAUGAUUUACGAGAGUCUUGACAAUGCACUGUUCGAGAAAGACGAGAAAUUUAAGAAGACUCGGUUGAAAAAUCUAGAUCAUAAUAUUGAAAAAUACAAUCUUUACGGCUUUAUGUCUGGGGUUCAGGUGCUAUUUUUUUUUGUUUAUUAAUAAGUUUUAUAGUAUUAAAUAUUUGAUAGUUGUUUUAUUUGAUUUUUCACUUUGGUUAUUGUAGGCUUGGAUUUACGAAGCAAUCAGAGGGUUGCCAUCAACAUGGGUCGUCAAAACGAAGAAUAAGAUUCCCCGCAUUCUGCAAUGGAAGCCCAUGGCGUCGUCGAGAAUCAACUUUGCGGAGGUUUAUUCGUUCUUCAACGACGAAUCUCGUCUUGUAAGUAAUAUAUAUUACUUAUUUUUUUAACUUUACUAAAUUUAAGUUAUGUAUACUUACUUAAAAUUUUAAAUUGAAUUUAUGGAAGGGGGACGUUUUACAAACUCUUAAGCCAAAUUCAAAGGAGAGUAGUAGAAAUUAUUAGCUCUCUGUGAAGGAUUACUUGCCAAGCAUUCCAGACUGGGUUCAUAAGGUCGGUAUACUCUAAGCACUAAAAAUUUGUUAAUCGAAAUUUUUGACUUUUCAUUUACUAAUUUUAAAUGAUACUUUAUACAGCAUCAACCCUCAAUCAACGCGAUGCCGUCGGUUACAAGGCAAUCAGACGAGCAUGACGAUCAUGACGACAUACUAAACCCAAUACCAGAGCAGCGUCAUGACACUUUUGAAGAUGAGGUGGGGCAUGACACUUUUGAGAAUGAGGUGGCUGUUGAUGACCACCAGCAGCAAACAAACAACUCUGAUGACGCACGAGAUUCUGAGAUUAGAAAUAAUAUACGAUAUUUUUUUUUUAAAUUAUUAAUUUUUUAUUGUUAUUCUAAAGUUUUAUUUUUUUCUUUUGUCAUAGUCGAGGACAAAGCAGUUUAAUGAUUACGUACGACGACGGCUGGAUAAGAUUGAUCGUAACGUGUAUGAAAUAAAGUCAGAAUUAAAAGAUUUUAAAGAAACCGUUGUUGGCUUCAUCGAAACAUUUUCUAAACGUCCAAAUAAGGAUUCUCCCACUGCACGCUCGUAUGCGGUAAGCUAAUUUAAAUUUAAUAAUAAUGUUCGUUUAACUUUUAAUUUGAUAGUUAUUUAAUAUGUUCUUUUUGGCGAAUGUACAGGCCCCGGAUGACGUUGGAGUGUAUACUGACGUGGGCAAUGAAAAUUUGUCUACGCCCACGUCAUUGUAUAGUUUCUACGGGGAUGUAAGUGGGGAGAGCGUGCAGGUGUUCACAAAGGUGCCUCCGGGCGUUAGUAAGUUCGGCCGCGCGUACAUACCGUCGUAUGUUUAUAACAGUCCUUACAUGAUUCCUCCGGUUAGGCGAGGACAGAACGUCCGGCCUUUACCUCGACCCCAAAUCAUGGAGCAUGCGAUUGACAUGAGUACGAGUGUGGAUGUAAAUCCACUGAGAGAAUUGGAGGACUCUAGUCUGUUUGCUGAGUUUGAUCGAUGGUUCACUGGUGAUAGCAGAGUCCGCCGGAGAGUCCAGCACCCGCGGUCAUUCUUUCAAAUAAUUUUGGGGACAGCUUCGAUGGGAUGGCUAGGCGAUGAGGUAUUUAUAAUUUUCUUGUGGUGUAUACUGUUGUGGAUUUGUGUAUAAUUUGUUUUUAAAAAACUCGUAAUAUUUCUGUUUCUCUACAGCAUAUUCACGAGUAUCUCCGCUUGAUUAGCGAGAAACAACGGCAGUAUCCAAAUGCCUUACUCCAACGUGUCACACAUACUGACACAUUUUUUUGGGUAACGUGCCGACAAAACUUAUAAAUUUUAUUAAAUUAUAAAAAUUUAAGUUUUAUUAAUUUAUGCAUUUCUUGGUUAUCUAUGUAUUAGGUGUUCUUGAAUCAGUUAUGGAAUAACGAGAAUUGUGCAGUCGAUUCAAUGGUAUUCGACGACCGCUUGAAUAGUUAUCUUUGUGGCCGACAGCACACAAUGUCUAAAUCAAUGACGGAUGUCGAUAUGGUAUGUACUUUAUUACAUUUCACAUGCUAUAUAAUGAAAAUAUUCAAGUUGUUGAUUUUUCUUUGUUGUAUUUUAAUUUCAUACAUGACGAAUAUGUUUUUCAAUUGUUAUAUGCAGUUACUCAUCCCUGUUAACUUGGACGGCGCGCAUUGGGUACUAGCACGAGUUGACUUUCGGAAAAACAAAGUCUGGAUUUAUGACUCAUUACUCACAAAUCGCGACGACAAAAGGUACAAGUUGAAAUUCAAGCCACUUGAAGUUAUAUUCCCUCGAUGGUUGGAAUAUGUUGGCUUCUACAAUAUCCGACCGGAGCUGCAGAGUGAAGACCCGUGGAAAGUUAUCGCAGUUAAGAGCGCGCCACAACAAGAGCCCGGAACUGGCGAUUGCGGUGUUUUUGUAUUGAUGGUUACGAUGUAUUUAAUGUUCGGGCUUAGAUUGGAGUUUAACGCUAGUCAUGUCGAGUACUUUAAAAAGAAGAUUGCGGUUGAUAUAUUUAAUGACGAUAUUAAAUUGUAAACCUAUGUAGUAAUUUAAAUGUUGGAAUUUGAAUUUUUUUUUACUUCGCGCACUUAAGUUUAUAUAAUUUUAAUGCCUCACAUUUUAAACUUUAAAUAAAGUUUUAUGAAAUAUAAGUGUACAAUACACAAAAAAUAGUAACAGUUUUAACCAACGAACACAAAAACAAUAAUAGUUUUAACAAACUCAUAACACACAAAAUACAACUAACUUCGAGUCGACGCAAUGGGAUUCUUACAUGACACCGACCGCAUCUUACAGUCCGCCGGUCAACGUCCUCGCCAGCCGAGGGUAUUCUGAGCUCUUUACGACGGCCAGGUGGUGGUGCCUCAACUGGUGGGUAUACUUGCAUCUCCUAAAUUUCAUCUGGAAUUUUCCAAUCAGCCACAUCACCAACUGGCUCUACUGGUUGUGCAUAAGCCAUCGCCAACGAUUCUGUAGUGUAAAAGUCCGAGCAAAGGUUAAUAAAAUCCACCCGGUGUGUUAGACACGCCGCAAUUGCAUGAGCACACACAAGCUGAUCAAGCUGGAACACUCUGCAGGAGCAAGUUCUCUUUUGCAAGUCAACCAACCCUUCCUUAAGCCCACCGCCUAUAACUUGAAAGCGAUGCGGAGACACCGGCCGAACUAUCAUUCUUUCAGCUAUAAUUCUCCUCUCAGUGACUAUUUCAUCCGCCCAUGUUGUUAGCCGAGUAGUCAUUGAUUCAGCCACAAUUUUCCUAUCAUAAAACCAUUGCUGCAAUGUUUUCCUAAAGUGAUCAACAAGAUGAGUCACAGGAAAUUUUCGAGGUUCCCUCAUGAAAGCAUUAACACUCUCCGCGAUGUUGGUGGAAAGAAUGCUGUACCUCCUACCUUCAAACUGAGACCUUGCCCAAUUACACGUACCGACAUUAUUUUCUAGGUAAUCAGCCGCACCCGAGUGGAUCAUCCACAACCCCUCAAGUUGUCUCUUAAAUUCCUCGUGGCCAUAUGCUUUUGCUGCAUUAAUAAAGGCAGGCUCAAAUUCAUCCCAAAGAGCUUUGGACAUUCUAAAUUGUGACUUAAUGUAACCUUUGACGUGGUAAAAACAAACGCCAUGAGUUGCAUUGUGAAAUACUUUAAGAACGGCUCUCCUUAUGGCAGUGCAUCGAUCAGAGAUAAUUACCAACUCAGGUCUAUCACCAAUCACUCCGUGUAACUUCAUCAUAAACCAUUCCCAAGCAUCAUUGUUUUCUGAAUCCAUGAUCCCAAUGGCUAACGGAUACAAUUGAUUUUUACCAUCAAGACAUGUUGCCAUGAACAUGCUUCCACAAUAUAGUCCCUUCAGAUGAGUAUCAUCUACAGCAAUGACAGGCCAAAUGUACUGCAUAAACCCCUUGAUGGAAGAUCCGAGUGCUACAAAAUAGUAUAAGAAAUUACCAUCUCUAUCUUGCUCGAGGUGAGUGACUGUACCCUCAUUCGCUGUAGUUAGUACGUGAGAGUAUUUAGGAAGCAUGUUGUAUGACUCUGUAGGGUUGCCGCGAACUAUUUCAAGACCAACUUCUCUCGCCCUAUAUGCCUGUUGGUAUGUUAACUGAACAUCGUAUUCCUGUUGCAUAUCUGCUCUUAUGUCAUUGGGAGUAUAAAUCCUCUUAUCUUGAAUAUAUUUUUCUGCAAUAAUAUGACCGACAACCCGGCUCCUUACUUGAUGACGUUCAUCAACCAAUACCUCAUUAUGACAAGUGUGUACAUUAUCAAUUCUCUUCACCACCCAAGGCACAUUUUGCUCGUUCGAACUGCUAGUUGCUCGAAUACGUCAUUUACAUGAUUCUGAACAAUAGUGAGCCUCGAAACGUGUCGUAGUAGACCGUGCAAUCUUGAAAUCAAACUUAUCUCUAAAGGCCACCUUGCGUAGUUGUAAUAUAAGCUCAUUCUUCUCAGCAAAUAGCUUACCCACGCUUAUAUCAUCUGAGUCACAACUGCUAACAAAGCUUGAAGCAACCAUGUUCGAAGGUAAAGUUGGAGCAAGACUUGUAAGGGGGUCAAUUCUCCUUCUCGAUCGAACCAUAGAAGGAAUAGGUCUAUUGCCUCUGUUAUUCACAGGAGUAUUAUCUUCACACUCAUCCUCAUGCUUGAACGACGGAACAUUCGAAGGACCGGCUCCUCCAUCAUCACCAUCAUUAUUGAAACGAGUGCCCCGCCUCGUAUUAUUAGAAGGUUAUGCACAAACAUUAUCCCCCUCUGUCUCAUAAUUAAAAUCAUCAUUGUCCCGAAAAUCAUUGUUGUGAUACGGAGAAUAUCGUUGCUCCAACGACGUUGUUAUUGGAAAUACCGUUGCUCCAACAUCCUGUAACGUAACGUCAUUAUCAUCAAUGUUGUCAUAAUUGUCGUGGAUUGAAGAGUAAUAUUGCUACAGCGAUAUUGUCCUCAGCAACACCUCUUCAUCAUUAUCGGGGCCAGACAUAUUUGCUCUAAACGAAGUUUCUGUAUCGACAUGUGGCUCAAUACCUUCGCUCGGAACUCGAGGUGAUGUGGUCACGAAUAUAGGAAUGCAUCCAACAUUAGCUACGUCAGAUGCCAUAUGCAACACAACCCUCACCAUUUCAUCAUCACAUAUAUCCAUGGGCAUUGCACAUAUACGAUAUAAUGUGUUACUAGACCUCAAAGUUGUCUUCAUUGUGAUAUUAUAAUCAUUAGGGUUUAUUUGUAACACCUCGUAUACUCUUGCCAAUAACUGAUCAAACAGAUAAUUUUUUCCAACCAAAAAAGCUCGAUUUUUACCAUUCACGUACUCCAUACGGUCAUUCUCUAAUGUCUCCCACCAACCAUCGUAACAUAAUUCAAGUACAACUGAAUCCAUUAAGCCUGAAAUUAUAAAAAAAAAAUUAUUGCAGUCAUAUUAAAAUAAUACAGUUUUAAUGAAUCUCCAGGGUGGGUGCGACAGGCAACCUGUCGCCCGAAUCUUGGUGCGAUAGGAUGCCUGUCGCUCCAAGGUUUGGUGCGACAGGGUGCCUGUCGCUCCAAGGUUUGGUGCGACAGGGUGCCUGUCGCACCGAGCAAGGUGUGGUGCGACAGGCGCCUGUCGCUCCAAGCAAGGUGCAACAGGCACCCUGUCGCACCGAGUUUUACUGCGACAUUAGCCCGUCGGCAGAUUCAGAUUGACCCGACUCAGUUAAGUAAGUUCAGAAAAUAAUUCAUACCGGUCGAUUUGUGUUGGAUCUGAAUAGAGUAUGAUCGAAUAUCACUUUUAUCGUUGUCUUUUGCGGUCGCUGUUGGCUGAUGAUUCAAGAGUGACAAGCUGCUUUUGGUUUGGCGACAUGGGAGAAACAAUGGUGGUUUUGUUCUGUAAAGAAGGGUAAUUUAGGAAGAAAGGCUUGUAUUUGGCUAAUGUUGAUAGAAAAAAGUUAACAGGAUUAUUUGCGAAAAUAAUAAAAUUUUAAUGGUUAUUUUCGUAAAUUUCCCAAGAAAGAUAUAAUACAAGAACCAUUUUCUGCAAUUUGAAGAACAAUGAAUCAUAUUGAGAUCAAGUCAAUUCAAUUUAUGGCUCCUCUCUUUCUAAGGCCUGAACUCCAAUUUAUUGAACAAGAUUAAGAGUGAAAGAUCUUUACAUUUUCCAGGUGCAAGCUUAAGCUCACCUAAAUUCAUGGUAUAUAUUAUAAUUAUCUUUAAAAAAUUCAAAAGGACUUUCAAGCCAUGUUUAGUAUGGAGGUGUAAAAGUUACAAUUACUGUAAAAAAAAUUAUAAUUAUGAAAUAAAAGUUAAUAAUAUGUCGUAAAUAUAAGUUUUAAAUAAUUAUUUUGACAAAAGUAGUAAAAAUAUAAUAGAUUUUUUUAUUAUAUAAGUAUAAAAUCAAAUCAACUAAGCUUUCAAAUUAUAAUAGUUAGUGUUUAUCAAACAUUUUAGCACUAUAACUUUUUAGUUACAAUUAUUCAACUUCAAUCUCAAAUGGAAUUGGGAUCUUAGAGCAUGUUUCAUUCAUAAAUCAUAACUAUCCUGUUGUAGCCACUUAAAAGGAAAUAACAAGAAAAUCAUGUUAAAUAAUAUCACUGUUGAUAUUUGAGGUUAAAGAAAUCCAAACUCUAGAUUUGCAUCCUCCUGGGGGAAAGACAAAAGUGUUAAUCUGAACAUUCAACUUAAUAUAAUAUUAUUUCUUUUUGCAUUUGGUCACAUCUGUUAGCCUAAAGGGUUAUACAUAAUGUAAUUUUGAUGAUAACAAACAUAUGUAUUAAGUGAUUUAAUAGAUAUUGUAUUUCACAUUUUCACUAGUUUUUUAAGGGUAAUAUUUAUGCAAGUGAAUCAAGUGAAAUCAAGCUCAAGACACUCAACGAACAACCGUGAAGUCAAGAAUAAAGUUUAGAGCUCAAACGGACAAAUUAGUGCGAUAAAUUAUUGUAAAGCCGGUAUGAUUUAAUUGAUGCAUGAUUUAGCAUUUGAGAAGCUUAAGAGAUUAAUUUAAUUAAAUACUUUUCAUAAACUAAAAGGUUUUGUUUUUAUAAAGUAAAGUAUUUUGUGGAUUUGAGUAAUGUGGACUUAAAAUGCUAAGUUUUGAAAUCUUUGAUUUUAAUAAGUAUUAUUAUUAAAUUUCAGAGUUGGACGUUUUUAUAAACAUUUGAAAUGUUUUGGGCCAUACUAUAAUUUAUGAAUAUUUUGGAUUAAAGUGAAAGAAUUUGAGAACUUUGAAAAAUAUGGGUAUUAUGUUGAAAAAUAUCUUUUUGCGAAAUAAUAAUAUCUUUGGGGCUAUAUCAUAGUUUCAAAAAGUUUGGGAAAGACAACUAUUCUUAGGAAGUUCUGAAAAUGGACCUAUUUGCAAAGUUUUAUGACGUUUUGGGUCGUAGUAUAAUUAUAAAAAGUUUUGGGCCAAAAUUCAAAAAUAACGGUAAUAUCACUGUUCCUGAGCGGCUGGCCGGAUAAAUCAAGCGGCUAACCGUUUGGGCGCUAGAAUUUACCUAUAACGGCUACUUUGAGGGCUUUAACUAUAAAAACUCAACCCAAACUUCAUUUUAUGAACUAAUGCAAGUAAAUAUAAGAUCAUAUAACAUAUAUUGAGCUUCCAAAACGCAAAUCAUCAUAGAUUGAAUCAUUGUGGAGCUAUUAUUUGCAUAUCCACUCUUAAAGAGAGUUUUUGUUGUAAUUUUCAUUUAUUAUCAAAUUGUGAAUGUACAAGUGUGAGAAACACUUGGGGUGAAGAGAUUGGGGAUAUAAUCUCUUGUUGUAAAGGUCCAUUGACACAUUGGAAGUUAAUUGUAAAUAUUUGAAGCCUUGAGAGACUUGGAUAGUGAAAUCCUCAAGCCGGGUGAGCUUGGAGGCGUGGACGUAGGCGGGGAUAGCCGAACCACGUAAAAAUCCUUGUGUUUUUUUUUUAUCUUCCCUUACUCUUUUAAUAUUGUGCUUGAUUGAAUUUAUUAUUUUUUAUUUGAUUAAGGCAAUAGAUUAAAUUGUUGUGCGAAUUGUAUUGCAUAAAUUUUAAAAUCCUAAUUCACCCACCCUUUUGGGUUGCAUAACUUGCAUUUCAACAUCAACAUGAGAUGUUCCUUAAGUCCCACCAGUAGCAGCUUGGAAUAGUGUAUGGUUAGGAACCAUGUUGAGAAACUAAGUGGCUUUCCAUUUUUUUUUUAAUAUCCAGGAGCCAAAUACUCACAUUGAUUUAAAAUCAACUUCUAACUAGUAAAAAAAAGGAAAGAAAGAAAGAAAAGGUCACAACUAUAGGCAACUUCUUAGUGCUCACCAUGUUUUAAUUAUAUUGAAUAAUGAGAUUGACUUGGAAUCCUUUAUGGAAUGCCCAUGAGUAUUAAAAGGAACUAAGGAAAAACGCUUAUGUAGCACAUGUUAAAUACUUUUAAAAUUUCAUAGUUGAGUUUUCGACCAAGCAAAUAAUAAAUUUUCUGCUUAUGUACAUUGUUGGAUCUAUUGAGUCUUUUUCAAGUUGAUUCUAAUGAAUCUUGAUGAAUUAAGAACUAAGAAAUUCAAUUGAAUAAAGAAACCAAAACUAAAAUAAGAAUUCAGAACAAGAACAGAGGUACGAAUCACCAAGUUUUAAGGGAAAAAUUCAACCACUUUAUUGAUCAACAACUAAUCAAAUAUAGAUGGAUUUAUAGAAGACUUUGCAUAGAUCACAACAAAACAGAUUAUAUGCAAAUUGAUGAACAAAAGAAGAAGAAAGAGAUUGUACAUUAGGCAUUGCUCAUCGGCUUCUAUAUGUACUGAUGUUUCUGGAAAUUUUACAAUAGAUUAUAACUAAUUCGUGCCACAACUGAAGUCAAUCUGCACAAUGAUUUUAAACUUCUUUAUAUUUUCCAUCUGAGUCCACAAAUUCAGAUACAUAUAUCUCCACAUUCUCUACCUUGCAAUUGAUUCAGUUGAUCUUUUCAAUAAAGAAGCACCCAAAAAAAUCUUUAAUCAACUACAAUUCACUCCUAAAUUUAGUUACGUUUGCGCAAAAUGCCCAUUAGAUUCACAUAGAAUUCAAACUUUGCAGUGGGAAGCACUUUUAUAAGUGCAUCAGCUGGGUUCACACUUGUGUGGAUCUUAGACACAAUUAUUGUUCCCUUUCCAACCCCAUCUCUGAUAAACUGGAGUUUCACAUGUUCUUUCAUGAUACAUAUGAUUCUUUACCAGCUGUAUAGCACUUUGAUUAUCACAGUUAAUUUGAACUGUUUUUUAAUUUAACCACAAUUCAUUAAGCAGAUCUUUCAGUCAUAAGGGAACCACAGACGUAUACCCUGAAGUUGACUUCCUUCUGUCAAGAUCUCCAGCUUAUCAUGCACAUGUUCAGCAUAAACAUAUACCCUGAAGUUAACUUCCUUCUGUCAAAAUCUCCAGCAAAGUCAGAGUCUACAAAUACUACAACCUUAUUUGUAUCACAUUUAGUUUUGUCAUACAGCAAACCACAAUUAGAAGAGCCCUUGAGGUAUCUCAUUAUCCAUUUGACAACACUCUAAUGAGUCUUACUUAAACAAUUAAGGAAUCUGCUAACAACACUCACUGCAUAGGUUGUAUCAGGCCUAGUGCAUACCAUUGCAUACAUUAGAUUCCCCACAACCUAUGCAUAUGGGAAUUCAUUUAACUGAAACUCAAUCUCAGAUGACUGAGCUGCUAAUAAUUUGAACUAUGGACUAAGAAGAGUUAGAACAAGUUUGCAAUCUUGCAUAUCAAACAUUUCUAAAACUUUCUUGAUAUAUUUCUUUUAACUCGAGAACAAAGUGCCAACAGCUCUAUCCCUUAAAAUAUCCAUCCCAAUGAUCUCUUUUAUAUUACCAAGAUCUUUCAUUUCAAAUUCAGACUUCAACAAAUUCUUCAACCUCUUUAUCUCAGACUUGUGUUUACUUGCAAUUAGCAUAUCAUCCACAUAAAGAAGCAAAUAAGCAACUCCACUUUGAUUUGAGCCACCAAAAUAAAUACAGUUGUCAUAUUUGCUUAUGUGAUAGCCUUUUAAGAUCAUACACUUAUCAAAUCUUCUAUUCCAUUGCCUCGAGGAUUACCUAAAUCUAUACAAGGACUUACGCAGCAGACACACAUGAUCUUCCUUUAACUUGUACUUAAAACCUUGAGGUUGAACCAUCAAUAUCUAUUCUUUAAGAUUAGCAUGAAAUAAUGUUAUUUUUACAUCUAUUUGCUCAAGUUCCAAAUCAAGUAAGGCCACCAUAGUUAAUAAGAUUCUUAUGGAACUGUGUUUAACAACAAGAGAACAAAUUUCAUUAAAAUCUACACCUUCUCUUUGUGCAAACCCUCUAGCCACAAGCCUUGUUUUGAAUUUUAAAGGCUCAACCCCUGUAAUUCACUCAUUCUUCUUGAAUAUCCACUUACAACUAACUAACCUUUUAUCACCUGGAUUUGGUACAAGUGUCCAAGUAUGACUUCUUUGCAGGGACUCCAUUUCCUCUUGCAUUACCUCAAGCCACUUAUCACAAUUCAGACUUUCAAUAACUUUAAAGAAGUUUCCAAGUUCUUCAAUUGCCACAUCAUCAGCACACAACAAUGCAUAAGCGAUUAAAUCGGCAUAUUUAUCCCUCACUGGGGCUUUGGUUUGCCUUCUACCUUUGUCUCUAGUUAAUUGAUAAGUCUACAAGUCAACUUGUUGCAAAUCUAAUGCUUUAUUGUCCUCAACUUUGGCCAUAGUCUCAUCCUCACUACUAAAUAGCUUUUUUUCACUAUCUCUGUCUUCAAAUAGCUCCACUUUAAUCUUGGCAAUAUCAGAGAGUUUGUUAGUAAUCAGAUCAGCACACACAUAAGUAUCAUUUUCUGCAUUUUCUUUUAAUAAUGCAGAUUCAUGAAACACAACAUCUUUGCUGAUUAUACAUUUCCUUUACUCUCUACACCAUAUUAUGUACCUUUAAUCCUAUCAUAAUAUCUAAUAAAGACACCCUUCAAUGCUCUUGCAUCUAGCCUGACUUGAUUGAUAUAAAGAUAGGCAAGGUACUCAAAAAUUCUGAGAUUUUUAUAAUUUGCAGGCUUUCCUGACCAUAUUUUCUCUAGUGUUUUGAAGCCAAUAGCAAAUGAUGGGCUUCUGUUAAUUAAGUAACAUGUUGUAUUAACAGCCCCUGCUCAAAAGUUUCUAGGAAGCUUAGAAUUCACUAACAUAUAUCUUUUUUUAUCUACCAAUGUCUUGUUCAUCAUCUCAGCCAAACCAUUCUACUAAGGGGUGAACCUUACUAUUUUAUGCCUUCUUAUUCCAUGUUUUUGACAGUAUUCCUCAAACUCUUUACUACAAAACUCUAAGCCAUUAUCAUUUCUUAAGCAUUUAAGUUUAAGCCCAGACUGAUUCUCCACCAAAGCUUUCUACACCUUAAAUUUUUUCAAGGCUUGAUAUUUGGUCUUGAGUAUGUAGAUCCACACCUUCCUUGAGUAAUCAUCAAUCAAUGACAUAAAAUACAUUCCACCACUCAGAAAUGAGACUUGUACAGGCCCCUAAAGGUCAGCAUGUACAUAGUCCAAUGCUAGCUUUGACAUAUGUUGCGCCUUAUUAAACUUGGAUCUGUGAGCUUUGCCAUAAAGACAGUUUUCACAAAAGUCAAGCUGCUGAAUUUUAUCCCCACCAAGCAACCCUUAUUUACUGAGCUCUUGUAUUCCUUUGACACUCAUAUGACCAAGUCUAAGAUGCCAUAACUUGGUUCUAUCUUUUUUAGAAACAAUAGACAUUCCUUCCAUAACAGACAUUGAUAAACCUUACAACACGUACAUACUAUUCUCUUUAACCCCUUUUAUCACUGUCUCAAUCCCUUUAAUUAUCUUUAAGCCACCAUUUUCAGACUUAAAGAAGUAUCUUAAGCUGUCUAACAUGCCUUACCUCAUGUAGAGCUCUUAUAGUCUCAUCAAACAUCUUGAUUUUAAUAGAACCAAUACCAAUAAUUUUAUACACAUUGUUAUUUCCCAUCAAGACUCUACCACCAUCCACAGUCUCAUAUUUGUAAAAAAAAUUUCUAUCAAGACACAAGUGAAAAGAACAACUAGAGUCUAUAACCCACUGACCUUUUGUGUUGCCAUUUGAGGCUACAAGCAAAUCAGCACUGAGGUAUCCAUUAGAGGCAUCAUCGGAGGCUAAAACUGUAUCCCCUGAUCUUUCUUGACACUCUUUCGUUUUCUUUUUAAGGUAAUUCUUGAUAUGAUGUCCUUCUUUCCUGCAGUAAAAACAUUUCCUCUUCUUUUUCUUCUUAUCUGUAUUUUCUUGAUUUUUUCCAUGUCCUUUUCCCUAGUUUUUAUUCUUCUGCUCUUUAUUCUUUUCUAUUCUGGCAACCAGCACAUCACCAUUACUCAUUUCAUACCCAUUAUUCUUUUGAAUCUCUUUUGAACUCAAAGAUGCCAUAACAUCUUUAAGAGUCAAUGUUGUUCUGCCAAAUAACAUUGUAUUCACAAAGCCUUCAUAAGACUUUGGCAGAGAACUCAGCAAGAAAAUAACUUUAUCUUCAUCACUUAUUUUUACAUUUUCAAUCCCUUCAAGAUCAAGAAUGAUCUUGUUGAAGGUGUCAAUAUGAUCUUGCAUUAAAACUCCUUCUUUCAUUAAGAAGGUGUAUAGUCAUUUCAUCAAGAAAAGUCAGUGAGUCAGGGACUUCUUCAUACACAAAGCUUCCACGUUGUUCAAAAUUCCUAAGGUUGCAUUUUCCUCAAAAAUCUUUAUCAAGAUUGAGUCACUAAGACUCAAAAUUAGAGUGUUGUGAGCUAUGUGUUUCCUCUUUUCAUUGGACAUAGAACUUGAAGCAGCCUUUGGAUUUUCUUUUUCUAGAGCAAAUUCGAGGCCCUGAUGCACAAUGAGAGCCCUAAUUUUCAGUUUUCAAAGUGAAAAAUCACCACCAGUGGUGAAUUUCUCAAUUUCAGGCUUUGGAAGAGACAUGACUGAGAUUCAUCAAGCUUUAAUACCACUUGUUGAGUCCACUGAGUCAUUUUCAAAUUGAUUAUAAUGAAUCUUGAUGAAUUAAGCAUUAAAAAAUUCAAUUGAAUCAAGAAACCAGAACCAGAAUAAGAAUUGAGAACAAGAACAGAGGCACGAACCACCAAGUUUUGAAAGAAAAAUUCACUCACUAUAUUUAUCAACAACUAAUCAAAUACAGAUCACAACGAAACAGAUUUUAGACAAAUUAAUAAACAAAAGAAGAAGAAAGAGAUUGUACAUCGGCAUUGCUCAGCUUCUGUAUGUACUGAUGUUUCUACAAAUGUUAUAAUAGAUUAUAUACGCCACAUCAGCAGAAAUAUCUAUUAGGCCCCUUCAACUGAAGUCAAUCCGCAAACCGACUAUGAACUUCUUCAUAUUUUCCAUUUGAGUCCACAAACUCAGGUACAUAUAUCUCUAACUACGUGAAUGGCGGUAAUGCAUAACUUAAGUGAAAAGGUAAAGAUUUUAUACAUCGAGGGUACUAAAAACCAAUAUUCUUAUUGUACAGGCAUUAUGGAAACACAAAAUUUUACGAAACCCUACUUGUCCAAAAUCAUAAUCGUGUUCUGUUUCUAAAGGCUUGUGAGUUUGCUAAUGCUCAUUGUGUCAAGUGGCUCAACAGGUAAGCCUGGGUUUUUGCUGAUAAUUCUUGUGCCACAAAACGCAUACUAGGUCGUGUGUCUGGAGUGGUACUUGUGCAUGCUAAGGCUACGUUGAUCAUGAACGCCACUGCUUUUGAUAAUUGGCCUUUCGGAGGUGGAAGACGCUGGUCUAGCACAUCCUUGAGAAACAAUUCCAGAUUGUUUGACAAUGAUGAUUCUGAUAGGGAAGUUAUAAGUUCUCCUGGGUGCCUUCCCAUCAUAACCUCCAGUGCCACCACUCCAAAACUAUAAACAUCACAUUUAUCUGUGACCCGCAUUGUGACCGCCAGCUCUGCACAUUAAAGAAAUUUAGAAAUCCAAUCAAAUUAACAAAAUGUUUCAUCAAUAGGGGCACUCACUAGUUUCUAAAGAUUUGAAGCAACAAAAUCUCUCUAGAUAACAGCAUGAGACAACACCAUCACAUGAAGAAAACCUGUUAUCCAGGAGAUUGUUCUUGGACAUGUAUGCACAAAAUCAUACCCUUUUGUACAGGCGAUGUGUAUUUUAAGUAUAUCAAAUGAAUUAAGAUAAUGUUAACUUUGUCUAAUGAGAGCUAUUUAUUUUAUAUAAAGUGCUUUCAGAGACUAUAACGAAAAUGCAGAAAGGAAAUUGUUAGCUUACCAGGAGCCAUGUAGCCAUAGGACCCAGCAACUGACGUCCAGUUGGAGGAAUCUGGAUUCAACAGUCUUGCAGUGCCAAAAUCUGAGAGCCGUGGUACAAACUCUGACUCGAGCAAGAUGUUAUUCAAAGAUAUGUCCCGGUGCACAAUAGGUGGAGAGCAGUCGUGGUGCAAAUAAGCAACACCAUGAGCCACUCCUUGCACAAUCUUCAACCUUGCAGCCCAGUCCAACGCUUCUUCCCCUUCCAACCCGUACAAAACAUUUGCCAGACUACCUCUCUCAACAUAUUCAUAAACCAAGUACAUACACCCUCCCCUGGAACAAAAUCCAUUUAGCUUGAUAAUAUUUCUGUGCCUAAUAUCUGUCAACAUGCGUAUUUCAUUCUCAAAACUGUGGCGAUUCAUCAAGGGAAUAUCACUGGAGUCUGACAUAUGAAGCUUUUUUACUGCAACAACUUGACUUGUUGGUAGUACCGCCUUGUAAACGCUUCCAAAUCCUCCUCUACCAAUGCAGUACUUCUCGCUAAAAUCCUCUGUGGCCUUCGCAAUAUCCCCAAAAGUGAACUUUCCUUCUCUCGCCCUUAUCAAUGACUCAGAAGCAUUACUCUUUUUACUAUUUUUUGUCUCCUCACCAAGGAGUUUGAUUUUGCUACGAUAUAUGAAAACUACAGCAACAAUUGUUGCAAGAAGUAAUAGGCCACAUACAGGGACAAUGACACCAAUAAGAACCUUCCUUUUAUUGUUUGUGGAUUUACCAGAAGAUUGUGUAGGACUGCAAGGAUCUAACCCUGCUGCGUCUCCACACAAACCUGAGUUCCCGACAAAAGCUUCUGCAGAUGCGUUCCGAAAUACGCCGCCGCUUGGAAUUGGACCUGUUAACUCGUUAUCUGAGAAGUCCACUAAACGUAGACUAAUCAUGUUGGAGAAUGAUGCUGGAAUUCUCCCUGACAGCUGGUUACGCGACAAAUUGAGAAUCUCCAGUGAUCUAAGCUUUCCCAGAUCUUGAGGGAUUGUUCCAGAGAGUGAAUUGCUGCUGAGAUCCAACAUGUACUGCAAUACAAUCAAAUUACCUAGCUUCGAUGGUAUUUCCCCUGAUAAAUCAUUGUGGCUUAGGUUUAAGCUCAAUAAUUUAUCAAAGCUACCAAGCUCUUGAGGGACAUCUCCUGUCAAUUUGUUAUUUGACAAAUCCAGAUAUGCAAGCUCAGUUAAAUUGCUUAUACUCUUAGGGAUCUCUCCUGUUAAGUAGUUGUUGCUCAAAUUGAGACUGAACAACUUGACUAAUUUUCCUAGAUCAGUAGGAAUUUUCCCUGUGAGUUCAUUUGAGUCUAGGCUUAGAACGCCCAAGCGGGUCAAAUUCCCGAGCUCAGCAGGGAUGCCUCCAGAAAUCUUAUUUCUAUCUAACUGCAGAUUACUGAGAUUUCUGCAUUCUCCCCAGUCAGGUGAAAUUUCACCAAUAAAAUGAUUGCCGCUUAGUCUGAUGAAAUCAAGUCUUGGAUGAACUCCAAAUGCCUUUGUAAUAUUGCCAGUGAAUUGGUUCCCAUCAAAACGAACUCUGUUCAGAUUCGAACAAUUCCGCAUGCAAGCUGGUAAUGACCCUGUAAAAUUGUUGCCAUUCACCGCCAGUUCUUCAAGAGCGAAACCACUGCACAAUUCAUGUGGCAGUUCUCCAGAGAAGCUGUUGUUAGAAAAGCUAACAUUUAUCAAGGAAGGACUGAACUUUCCAAAAUCGCCAGGAAUGCUGCCAGAGAAGUUAUUAGUGAACACAGAGAAUUUGUUUAGGUUAACAAGGCGAGAAAUGUUCUCUGGCAACUCUCCGUGCAGUUGGUUUGUAUUGACAUCAAAAGCUACCAAUGAAGCCAUACUCCCAAUCUCCGGUGGAAUUGUACCACUGAGAUUAUUGAAGAAAAGCUGCAAGCUCAGAAGGUUCGUCAGAUUCCAUAAUGUUGGGGGAAUUGUACCCGAAAGCUGGUUUCCAGAAAGGUCUAAUUUUUCAAGACUAGUCAACUUUCCUAUCUCUGAAGGAAUAGGACCAGAGAAGUUGUUCCUAUACAGGAAAAGGUACUGGAGCUUUGUCAAUAGGCCAAUUUCUGGUGGAAUGUUCCCCAUGAAGGAAUUGUUUUGAAUUUGCAAUGACUCCAAUUCAGUCCAAUUACCAAUGAGAUUAGCCGAGAUCUCACCGGAGAGAAAAUUGUCAGACAAGCCCAAUUCAUUUAAUCUGGAUAGAUUUGACAGUGACAAAGGCAACCCCCCACUGAGUUGAUUCAUAGCUAAAGCCAAGAAUGAAAGGUUUGUACAGAGGCCAAGCUCAGGAGGUAUGGUGGAAUUUAAGGCGUUCAUUCGAAGAUCAAGAUGUUGAAGGUUUUUGAGUUGGCCUAAGGAAGACGGAAUCUGCCCUGUGAACGAAUUGUUAAACAAUUCAACCAGCUGAAUGUUAGACAUCAAACCUAUAUCCCCAGGAAUUGGACCGCUAAACUUGUUGGUUGCUAGACGAAGGACUAUGAGAUUGGAGAGCUUGGAAACAUUUGGUGACAAUUUUCCUUGGAAUUGAUUAUCGGUGAGGUUGAGGUAUUCAAGCUUGCCCAGAUUGGUGAACAGCCUCUCUGGUAUUAGGCCACUCAACUUGUUCAGUGACAAGUCGAGAUAAGUCAAGUUCCGGCAAGUUAAUAUGAAUGAAGGAAAUUCCAAGGUCAAUUCAUUGUAGCAAAGGCCAAGGUGUGUCAAUGAAGGCAUGUUUGAAAAUUUGGACCAGUCAGGAGUUUCUAAGAAGUUCCCACCAAGGUCUAAGUAGCGUACCUUUCGAAGAUUGCUAAGUUGAAAAGGAAAGGCACCAUUGAGACUGUUGUUAUACACACUGAGAUACUGAAGCUCCGACAAGUCUCCCAUCUCGGAAGGUAUGCUACCUUCGAAAAGGUUGUUGUUCAAGUCUAGGAAAGUCAGGUUGGAGAGGGUGCCAAUGGCAGGCGGUAUUGGUCCAGAGAUGUUGUUGUGGCUGAGGUCUAAGCUUGUGAGAGUUGCAAAUUCGGUGAAGUUGAAUGCUGUGAGAGUUGCAUUGAUGUCUGCACCGGAGAGGUUUAUUUCAGAAACUGCGCCGGGGGAAUCGCAAGCAAUGGAAGUCCAGUUGCAGAGGUUGUCGAGGUUGUUGCGUGACCAUGAAGAAAGAGGGGACGGGGACGGCGAAAAUCCGAAGCUGGUCUUCCAUCUGAUGAGAGCUUCUGCUUGAGUUCUGGGGGAAGAUGAAAUCUGCAGUGGAAACAAAACGAGCAGAAGAACGUGAAACAGAACAAGAGAAAGCUUUCUGGUUGGCGUCAUUUUAGUUAUUUGAGUUUCUAUCAUGCUACGUUGAUCGGGGUUGUUGUUACUCGUCUUAUAUAAAGCCCACGGAGAGAGGGAGGGAGAUACUUGUCAAAUAUGAGCUCCAAAGUCCCAAAAAGAAACAAAAAAAAAAAUUAAUAAACCGUGUCUUGCUUUCUACGUUUUAAUUAUUUAACUUACUGGGGGUGGGCAAAACUGAACAUUUAGUUCGGUUCCUUUUUUUUUGUUUCAGUUUGAAAUUUUUAAAUAAAAAAUCUGAUUUUAUAAAUACCCAAUCGUUCAGUUCGGUUCAGUUUCGAAUCAAAAGUUAUAAAAUCCUAACCGAAUCGAAAUUAAGGUAUUUUCGUAAUUUCACUCUAACAUAUAUAUACACAAAUCACACGAUUCACACGUUUGCAGUUUGCACCUCUCUCUCUCUCUUUCACUUUCAGUAUAGCUGCACAACACAGGCUAGGGGUGUUCAAAAUUCAAUCUGAUCUGCUCAAUCCGUAUGAUCCGUAGAAAUCUAAUUCGUAAUCCGCAAUCGGUGGAUUUGAUAUGGAUCACUUUUGUAAAUCUACAAAAAUCUGCAAAUCUGCAAAAAAAAAAAUAAAAAAAUAUUUAUUUAAUAAAAAAUAAAACUUGUAUAUGAAAUUUUACUUGCUAAUAAAUAAAUAAGUUAAAAUAUAGUUAUAUUAACACCGUAUUAUGUCUUUUUUGAUAAUAAUAUAAAAUAAAAAUAAUUAAAUAAAAAAUAUGGCUUCCUAAGUAGUUAAUUUUCAUGCACCAUCUAAACAAAUGAGAUUUUUUCCUUUUUGGUGUGUUAUAUUUUGAAACUUUAAAUGUAUUUUCUAUCUUUAUUUAAACAAUUAAUUUAUUUAAAUCUUAUUUGACUAGUAGUAAAAUUAUUUUUAUAUUAAUCUUUUUUUUAUUUAUUUAGUUCGUGGAUAGGACAUGACUAAAAUUUUUUUGCCCGCAAAUCAAUCCGUAAAAUAGUAGAUUGGAUAUUGAUUAGGUCAAAUCCGUAUCUGAUCCGCAGACGUAUGGAUUGGAUUUGGAUUGAAUUUCACCAAUCAAUAGAUUGGAUUGGAUUAAAAAUUUAUAAUCUGCAAAAUCAUGGAUCGGAUAUGGAUUGAUAUCUAAUCCGUAAAAUCCGAUCCGUGAACACCCCUAAGCACAGCCACGACCCAGCCCUAAUUCGCAUUUGCCUUUGCCCAUUAUGCCUUCUCCUUGCAGUCAUUUUUUCCUCCGUCACCAACUAUCCAGUCAGGUAACUCACUAACUUGCUAUAUUUCCUUUUUUUUUUUAAAUGGGUCUUUUUUUGUUUUGAGAUAACUCUUUGAUCUGUUCUUAUUUUAUGCUUGCUUAAAUUAUUAGUAGUAUUUAGUUUGAAAUGGGUCUGCCUUUGCUUAGAUAUGAGUCUGAUAUUGUAUUUUUUUCAAUUUUUUCGCUUGGAUACUAUGCUGCUGUCAGUGCUUGGUGAGGGUUGAGAAACGAAUUGUUGAAGCUUAUGGAGGGAUAAUAUCGUUUGGACCCCUUUUCUUUAUAAUAUUUUAGUAUGGCCUAAUAUUUAGGAAAUGUUUACAUAUGAGAAUUCUAUUAUGGUUUAAUUUGUUUGCAAAAAUUUCAGAAUGGUCCUUGACCAAAGGUCAAUAAGUAAAAUAUCAUUUGAGUCCGUAAUAUUUUGCCAAUUUCUACUAUUGUACAAAAAUUUAUUUUAUUUUAAGGAAAUUUACAACCGUCCACCUGUUUGUUUUGUCUUUUUCAAAAAUGCACAAACACUUUUUUUUUUCAGCGCGCCACCUGAAGUUUACUUUUUGUUGCAUUCUUCCACUUCCGUCUAAUUUCCGUUAGCAAAUUUAACGGAAUGACCUUUUUGCCCCUCAAAAUUACAAUUUAAUCCAAAAUAAAUAGAAAUUAGAGAUAAAUUGGAUGGAUUUAAUUUUUUUCGAAGGUGGAUGCUAGAAAUUGGAGGAAAAUAAUGUUUGUUUCUUGCUAAAUUUAGAAAAUUUGUAUUUAUUUUUUUGGAGGAAAAUAGUGUUUGUUACUUGUUAGAUUUAGAAAAUUUGUAUUUAUUUUUUCUCUUUCAAAAAAAUAAAUACAAAUUUUCUAAAUUUAGCAAGCAACAAACACUAUUUUCCUCCAAUUUCUAGCAUCCACCUUUGAAAAAAAUUAAAUCCAUCCAAUUUUUCUCCAAUUUCCAUUUAUUUUGGGUUAAAUUGUAAUUUUGAGGGGUAAAAAGGUCAUUUCGUUAACAUUCCGUUAAAUCCACUAACGGAAAUUAGACGGAAGUGGAAGAAUGCAACAAAAAGCAAACUUCAGGUGGCGCGUUGAAAAAAAAAUGUUUGUGUAUUUUUGAAAAAGGCAAAACAAACAGGUGGACGAGUGUAAAUUUCCCUUUAUUUUAUUUACAUUUUGGGCUAAAACUUUUAUAUUAAAAACAGUAACCAUAAUUCUGAAAAUUAUUCAUUUUAAUCCAAAUUUCUUGCCUUUUUUCCACAUACAAAUUUGUAAAUUAUUUUAUUUUUGUUUAUUAUAAAUUGAUUAUAGUAGACCUUGCGUGCAGGAUGGAAGAAAAUAACAAUGUUAUAGAGGAGAUUAUGAAGGACGAUUUUGAGGAGGGUGUUGAGAAUAAAAAAAACCAAACCGAAAACGAAACCAUUAAGAUGAAUCGAAAAACCAAUUGCUUAAAUAAAACCCUUAAGAGAACUGAAAUCGAUCCGAAACUAAAAACUGAUUCCAAACCGAAACCGACCUAUCAGUUUCGAUUCGGAACGGUUUUUUUAAAUUUUAGAUCCGAACCGAUCCAAAACCUAAAAUUUAUUUCGAAACCAAACUGACGCCCACCUCUAGUCUUACAACCUUACAACUUCCUUUCCAUCAAGUUGGUUCAAAUAACUAUUUUUACCUUGUGACCAAUAAUAAGCCUUCACCAAACUUUUUUAACACUUCAGUUGACUUCCGACUUCAAACACGUGCGAAUAUGGCAUGUUGGCCUUCGUUUUUUUACUUCUGUAGAACGAUACAAAGACUUGGCAAUUGAACCUGGAAGCAAGAAUAACCUCAUUUUUUCCCCAAAAAAAAAAAAAAAAAACUGAAGUAAGAAAUUGGAAUUGGAAGCAAUUUUUCCAGUUACACAAAAGUCCUCAAAUUACUUGCCGAAUUAUGGUAGUUGGUAAGUUGACUUUGACUGUCCACAAAUUACUUUCCGAAUUAUGGUAGUUAGUAUUAUUAGUUUAAAAAAUGUUUGGAAUAAUUGUUCCGUAUAAAUUAUUAUCUUUAUGCCAGGAAUACGGAAAAUUCAAAUCGAAUUUCAGGUAUAGGGUAUACUUUAACUUCGAAGACAAACAGAGAGAGCUGACGAGUAAGUGAAAAGGCAAAAUGAGAUCAUGUUUGAUUUAGAUACGUUUUUAAAUACAUCUUUACUUUGUCAUAAUCAUUAAACUAAAUGGUUCAGUUUGAUUAACUGGAUUGGAUAUUAAAAAAAUAAUACACACACACACAAAAUGCAAUGGGAGCUAAUUAUGAAGCAGAAUUGAGCAACUUAAUAUUUUUAUAAUGAAACGCAUCAAGCACCCUUCUCAGUGGGAUUUUAUUUGUCCAACAAAUUCCGUUUAGAAAAUACAAAAUACAGUGAAUGCUAAAAUCCAUCCCAUUUACUACCCUACAAAAUUAGUGCGCCAGUCCUUAGCCGCAAUAAUAUUGUGCAUGAGUGAAUAGUGAUAAAUACGAAUUAAGACUAAUGUUGAUCUCCAUUUUAACCAACCAAUGAGACUACAAAUCAAAGUCCAACGUUGGGAAACUACGAAAUUUCUUUAUGAAUCAGACUUGCGUGGCCUCAAAAGAAGUAUGAUGAAUGAAUUGACAGAUACCAACUUGGGUUUUAAUCGCAUGUAUGAAGAUUGACAGUCAAAUAUAAGAAAACAAAUAGGAGGAAAUUUCAAAAUUUAAUUGGAGAAAUUUGUACCCUGGCAGCCUUCAUUGGGUUGCCCAUUGAAUUUGCACGACAGAUCCGUUUUUCCCAUAAACUCACAUCACAGAUGAAAGUUACCAAGAACAAGAACUCUGAGAAAGUAUCCGGAUGUCACAACACAAAGUCUAUAGUUCAUAAAUUCUUUCCCCAUAUCCUGUGAGAAUGCCUGGAAACUUACGUUCAAAAAAAAAAUCUAAAAAAAAAAUACCUUGAAAUUAUUAAAUAAUUAUGUUCUCGAUCUAAAUUAACUUUUCAGAAACAUUCUGACAAACAUUGACAAAGUGUGAUUCCAGAACAAGCCCUUCUAUGAUAACAGAAAUGCCGACUAAAUGACAACUCUUACAAGAAUGAAGAGAUGGUGAGUAUUUUUUUUUUUUUCUAACAUGCAUCCUAAAGGUUUCUCUUUAGCUUAUACAUUCUAACCAAGGACAGGCAUACAUGUCUGGGUUUGUACAAUACAAUGAAUAUCUCAGCAUACUUUACGCUUGUAAGAAUGACAAAUGAGACUAAUUUAAGAAACGAAAAUCACUGUUUUAUGUACUUUAUGAAUGUUAGUAAACUGAAACAAUCAGUACAUUUGUCCGUCAACCAACACAACGUAGAUGUCCCAGCCUAAGGGCCAUCGCAACAAGAAAAUUUGGCCAAAAGCUUAGCACAAACUGUGAAAGUCAUAGUCAACCAAUCUCAUUCUCUAGAAGCAAAGAUUACUUUCUUUGCAGCGGAGCCCCAACGAAAGGCUCCAUUGGUUUUAGAAUGAUGUAUAAAGCAAAUAAAAAUAAAGAACCCGUCAAACACACUGCACGAGUCGAUACGCACAGCGCCUAGUAUCCAUCGUUUACGGCUAGGACUACGGGGCGCCUAGUAUCCAUCGUUUACUGCUAGGACUACGGGGUAUCUAAUCCCAUUCGCUCCCCUAGCUUUACGUCUCUCAAUGUCCAUUCCACUCGAUUCAAGAGCAAGAGAAAGAACCAAUGCCCCAUUCGGGUAUAUCGAUUGAAAUACCCGUAAGGGAUAUUUUCCGUAGAAAUAGUAUUCUUACGAAUGAUUCGGAGUUCUUGCAUAGUAGAACCAUGUCUUAUAUCAGGAGGUCUGGGAGUGAUAUUAUUUACCAACCCAAUUUAUUCUGCCUUUGCCUAACUUCCUUCUUGUAUCAUUAAACCGUCACCCAUUAAAACAACACCAACAUUAUUUGAUUCCAAAUUCAGAGCAAUGCCUAUUGUACCCUCUUCAAAUUCUACUAAAUCACCUGCCAUUACUCAAGUCAAGCUAUGAACUCAGACUUAAACCAUUGCAUCCACAUUGUGCCCUUAGUCUGCUCAUGAAACUUUUGAUGCAAAGAAACAAAAAACAGAGACUGCAACCAUGAGGGCAUUAGUACACAGAACACUUCACAUUUGGCCAAAAGCUAAGCACAAAAUGUAAAAGUCAUAGUCAACCAAUCUCAUUCUCUAGAAGCAAAGAUUACUUUCUCCUCAGUGGAGGCCCAAUGAAAAGCUCCAUUGAUUUUAGAAUGACGUAUAAAGCAAAUAAAAAUAAAAGAAUACGUCAAACACAAAUACAAGUCAAGCUACAAACUCAGACUUAAACCAUUGCAUCCACAUUGUGCACUUAGUCUGUUUAUGAAACUUAUGAUGCAAAGAAACAAAAAACAGAAACUGCAACCAUGAGGGCAUUCAUACACAGAACGCUUCACUUUCUCAUUUUAUCCUAUGUUUUCGUUCAAAUUUCUGCGCAGAAAGAAGCAGAAGCUCUGCUAAACUGGAAAAGCAGCUUAGUUUCUUCAUCUCUUCCUUCAUGGACUGCCAUUAACAGCAGCGGUGGCCCAUGCAACUGGAAUGGAAUUCAGUGCAAUGAAGUUGGCAGCAUUUCUGAGAUAAACUUAGCAAAUUCAGGCCUGGACGGAACACUGGACAGGUUUGACUUCUCUGCUUUUCCUAAUCUCACUGCCCUCAAUCUCAAUAUGAACAAUUUAGUAGGAAGUAUUCCGGCUGGAAUUGGGAAUGCAACAAAGCUCAUCUUACUUGAUUUGAGUAGCAAUAAUCUCACAAAUCCAAUACCUCCAGAAAUUGGAUACCAUUCAGAACUCCGAGUCCUUCUUCUCUACAAUAAUUCACUCACAGGUCAAAUUCCACAUCAACUUAGCAACCUACAGAACGCGUGGCUGCUAAGAAUUGGUGCUAACUACCUGGAGGAUCCUGACCCAGUCAAGUUUAAGGGUAUGGCAUCUUUAACAGAUCUUUGGCUUGACUAUAAUCUUUUGGAGAAAUUUCCCUCGUUU